rnacentral:rRNA from 1 species
AACGGUCAUACCAUGCUGAAUAUACCGGUUCUCGUUAGAUCACUGAAGUCAAGCAUCAUUGGGCGCGGUCAGUACUUGGGUGGGUGACCACCUGGGAACACCGCGUGUCGUU